rnacentral:rRNA from 1 species
UGCCUACGGGGCGCAGCAGUGAGGAAUAUUGGUCAAUGGUCGGGAGACUGAACCAGCCAAGCCGCGUGAGGGAGGAAGGUACAGAGUAUCGUAAACCUCUUUUGUCAGGGAACAAAGACUGGGACGCGUCCCCGGAUGAGUGUACCUGAAGAAAAAGCAUCGGCUAACUACGUGCCAGCAGCCGCGGUAAUACGUAGGUGGCAAGCGUUGUCCGGAUUUAUUGGGCGUAAAGCGAGUGCAGGCGGUUCAAUAAGUCUGAUGUGAAAGCCUUCGGCUCAACCGGAGAAUUGCAUCAGAAACUGUUG